UACGUAGGGUGCGAGCGUUAAUCGGAAUUACUGGGCGUAAAGGGCGCGCAGGCGGCAGACCAAGUCAGGCGUGAAAGCCCCGGGCUUAACCUGGGAGGUGCGUCUGGGACUGGGUGGCUAGAGUUCGGGAGAGGGAAGCGGAAUUCCGGGUGUAGCGGUGAAAUGCGUAGAUAUCCGGAGGAACACCGGUGGCGAAGGCGGCUUCCUGGACCGACACUGACGCUGAGGCGCGAAAGCUAGGGGAGCAAACGGG
rnacentral:rRNA from 1 species